GGCGAACGCUGGCGGCGUGCUUAACACAUGCAAGUCGAACGGUGAAGCGCCUUCCUUUUUGGUUGGUGUGGAUGAGUGGCGAACGGGUGAGUAACACGUGAGUAACCUGCCCCCUUCUUCUGGAUAACCGCAUGAAAGUGUGGCUAAUACGGGAUAUUCUGGGUCUGUCGCAUGAUGGGUCUGGGAAAGAUAUUGUUUCGGUGGGGGAUGGGCUCGCGGCCUAUCAGCUUGUUGGUGGGGUGAUGGCCUACCAAGGCGGUGACGGGUAGCCGGCCUGAGAGGGUGGACGGUCACACUGGGACUGAGACACGGCCCAGACUACUACGGGAGGCAGCAGGGGGGAAUAGUGCACAAUGGGCGCAAGCCUGAUGCAGCGACGCCGCGGGAGGGAUGGAGGCCUUCGGGUUGUGAACCUCUUUCGCCAGUGAAGCAGGCCUGCCUCGUUUGUGGGUGGGUUGACGGUAGCUGGAUAAGAAGCGCCGGCUAACUACGUG
rnacentral:rRNA from 1 species